CUUUCUGAGGAGCUGAAGUCGCUUGGCUUUUGGCUCCUGCCUCAUGCUGCACCUGAGAUGUGUGAUAAUCUCUCAGAAAUGUGCUGCUUGUCAAGUCUUAUGGCUUAAUUAUAAACAUUAACGAAAGUCAGCUACAGCUUAAGAGGCUUGCCCAUCUGUUUCUGCACUUGAUGGAUGGUUGUGAUUCCACUCCAGGAGGCUCUCAAGCCAGCAUCUUUUUCAAGACUGUGUCUCAUUUUCUCUACAUGCAGUUUAUAAGAAUGAGUAGCCACAGUAGGAUAAUUUUUAUUCAUCACCUCAUGUGCCAGAUAAAAUCCUGUCAUGUGGAACUGAGGCCGAGAGCAGGCCUUUGAAGAGCAGAAUAUGAAAAUAUUGUUUGAUCCAAUCACAAUAUGCUUUUUAAGAGUCUAAUCCAUAAAGUCAG